GACAACCCGACCAUCUUUCUUGGACGCUAAUGAAUGAGUUGUGCUAUCUGGAUGAUCAAACAGGAAAUAGGUUUAGUGCGAUUCCCACAGCACAUUUAUAUAAUCAUAUCACUAAGCACAAACAUGCACAAAAAGAGUAUACACAGACCAUUAGGGGGAGGGGGGCAUUGGACCCUCUCCCUUGUCCCCUACUAGCUCCAUCACUCUCAUGCGCGUUGCACAAAUCUGUUUGUUUCCUGAAUACACAUGGCGCUCCCCUCCUCAUCCCGAUCACUUCAUCUCCUCACUCGUGCAUUGCAUCUCAUUUGAAGACGUAGUUUUUAUUCUGAUUCUAGAGUAUGUCCCAUAUGACAUGUCAGUGACUUAAUAUUUUCUUAUCUUCCUUCACCACCGGCCCGCACUCAUCUCUCCCUCCGCAGCUCUCUUCUCUUUCUCUUCUCGGACGGCGGCACUAAAGCCCACCUCCACCCGGCGGCGGGAUCCCCCAGCUCCAGCGUCACCACACCCUCGCCCCUUUGCCCCCACUUCGCCAACCCAGCUCGCUCCC
rnacentral:lncRNA from 1 species